GAUGAAGAACGUAGUGAAAUGCGAUAACUAGUGUGAAUUGCAGAAUUCAGUGAAUCAUCGAAUCUUUGAACGCACAUUGCGCCCCUUGGUACUCCAUGGGGCAUGCCUGUUCGAGCGUCAUUUACACCCUCAAGCUCUGCUUGGUGUUGGGCGUCUGUCCCGCUUCGUGCGCGGACUCGCCUCAAAUGCAUUGGCAGCGGUCUUGCCAGCUUCUCGCGCAGCACAUUGCGCUUCUAGAGGCUUUGGCGGAUCGGCGUCCAUCAAGUACACCCACAGUUUGACCUCGGAUCAGGUAGGGAUACCCGCUGAACUUAAGCAUAUCAAUAAGCGGAGGA
rnacentral:misc_RNA from 1 species